rnacentral:rRNA from 1 species
ACAUUUCUUUUAGAUUAAUUUAAAAGUAAAGUCUGCCCACUGUAAAAAAUGAAGGGCCGCGGUAUUUUGACCGUGCAAAGGUAGCAUAAUCAUUAGUCUUUUAAUUGGGGAAUGGUAUGAAUGGCUAAAUGAUUUUUUGCUUUUAUUAUUAUUGGCUUAUAAUUUUGAUUUUAAGUGAAAAUACUUAAAUACUUUAGUUAGACGAUAAGACCCUAUAGAAUUUUAUUUUUAUAGUAUAUUUUUAUAUUAUUGAAGUUUAAAUGGGGCAUUUUAUGAAUAUUAAUAAUUUCUUUUUUAAUAAUUUUAAAAUAUCUUAGUUUAAAGAUUUUAAAAAAAUUACCUUAGGGAUAACAGCGUAAUUUUUUUUGAGAGUUCAUAUCGACAAAUUAGAUUGCGACCUCGAUGUUGAAUUAAAAUACCUAUAUGGAGCAGAAUUUGUAUAAGGUAGUCUGUUCGACUAUAAAAUUUUUACAUGAUUUGAGU